rnacentral:lncRNA from 1 species
GGAAUCAAAAGAGAAAGGAAAAGGAAAUGUCCCUGUUUGUUUGGUGAGGCUCCAGUCUUCGCCAUUGCCUUUGGACCUGGGUCUCUAAUUUCUUCAGGCUUCCGAUGCAGACUCUUCAUACUUCCAAAAAAUCUCUUUGGCCUUCCAGUGCAGACUCAGCGGUGACUCCACAGUGAGCUUCCAGGCUUUCAACUUGGCUGCUGCUGGAUCCUCAGCUCUCCAGAAUGCAGACACCACUGCGACUCUUCUGCCUGUGAUCCUGCGAGCCUACCUACUAUGCCGCUUUGUGUGAUUACACUCACAUUUUGUUUUGAUUCUGUUCCUCCUAACCCACCUCCAUGGCCCCUGCAUCAGGACAUCAAGGAAGCCACAAUAGCACCACUAAAGACACUCACGAAAGAGGACUUCCAGAGCUGCUGCAGAAAGAGGCGAGAACCAUGGGCUAAGUGUCUGAAGCAAGCAGAAGGAUUUUGAG